GACGAACGCUGGCGGCGUGCCUAAUACAUGCAAGUAGAACGCUGAAGGAGGAGCUUGCUCUUCUGGAUGAGUUGCGAACGGGUGAGUAACGCGUAGGUAACCUGCCUGGUAGCGGGGGAUAACUAUUGGAAACGAUAGCUAAUACCGCAUAAUAGUAGUUGUUGCAUGACAACUGUUUGAAAGGUGCAAUUGCAUCACUACCAGAUGGACCUGCGUUGUAUUAGCUAGUUGGUGGGGUAACGGCUCACCAAGGCGACGAUACGUAGCCGACCUGAGAGGGUGAUCGGCCACACUGGGACUGAGACACGGCCCAGACUCCUACGGGAGGCAGCAGUAGGGAAUCUUCGGCAAUGGACGGAAGUCUGACCGAGCAACGCCGCGUGAGUGAAGAAGGUUUUCGGAUCGUAAAGCUCUGUUGUAAGAGAAAGAAACGAAGUGUGAGAAGUGGA
rnacentral:rRNA from 1 species